AUUGAACGCUGGCGGCAUGCCUUACACAUGCAAGUCGAACGGUAACAGGUCUUCGGAUGCUGACGAGUGGCGAACGGGUGAGUAAUACAUCGGAACGUGCCUAGUAGUGGGGGAUAACUACUCGAAAGAGUGGCUAAUACCGCAUGAGAUCUACGGAUGAGAGCAGGGGAUCGCAAGACCUUGUGCUACUAGAGCGGCCGAUGGCAGAUUAGGUAGUUGGUGGGAUAAAAGCUUACCAAGCCGACGAUCUGUAGCUGGUCUGAGAGGACGAUCAGCCACACUGGGACUGAGACACGGCCCAGACUCCUACGGGAGGCAGCAGUGGGGAAUUUUGGACAAUGGGCGAAAGCCUGAUCCAGCAAUGCCGCGUGCAGGAUGAAGGCCUUCGGGUUGUAAACUGCUUUUGUACGGAACGAAAAGCCCUGGGUUAAUACCCUGGGGUCAUGACGGUACCGUAAGAAUAGGCACCGGCUAACUACGUGCCAGCCGCCGCAGUAA
rnacentral:rRNA from 1 species